AAAUGAAUAUAUAUUGAAUGUAACAUACCAGAUUUUGGUAUAAAAAUAAAAAUAAAUAAAAAUAGUGUGAGAAACUAUUUUUAUUGGAUUUAGAGAAGUAAAACAUAAGUCAGAAGUGACUUGUGCUGAAAUCGGAAUGAAAACAGAAGAUUUAGAAUUUUCUGUUGAAAACGGGACAGAUAAAUUAGCAGAAAAUGCACAGUCUCAGAAAAUUAUUAAAUUGGAGGAUAAGUCAGAAAUAUUUUUAUGAGACUAGAUUUAAAGUUUCAGAUUUUUCUGACACCCGGAAGGUGGAAAAUAAAAUCCGACAAGUUAUCUGAUAAAGAUUACAGUUCGAUACAGUUUUCGGUGACCAAAUGGGAUCGAAACUGAAAACUUAAAGUAUAUUCUUACUCAGUACGUUAAACU
rnacentral:lncRNA from 1 species